GUGUGUAACGAGUGUAUUAAUGUGUGUGAGGGAAAUAAAGGGGUGUGAGGUAUGACGGGCCAGCCUGCCGCAGCUCACCCCUGGCCUGUUAAACCUUCCGUCAGACUUAAACUAGGCAGUGGCGGUUAGGUCUGACCAGCGGACAUGAAAGCAUAGUCAUGUGGCUCCAUUCACUGCCACGGGUGACUUAUGGUGACGAGAAAUAAAUUAAAUAAUGGCUAAUAUAUACGGACGUCCGGAUCAUCAGUCUGCUUAUAUUUUUUAAAAAGUUGAAUUUUGGCGGGUUUUCAUUUCACGGAAGAGUUCAUUUGUUAAUAUUUCGUCAUGCGGGUUACGUUGAAACUAAAUAUUACGAGUAUGACUAAAUAAAAAGCCGAAAUAAUGUAAAAAAAAAAAAAUAAUAAUAAUGAAGGUACCGUGGAUUGGCAACACUUACAAUGUAAACAAACAGCUGAUCACGGGUCCGGAGCGAGGCAAGGAGAUAAAAAUAAUAAUAAACGAAGGAAAUAGAGCAAAUACUCGUAGAAGGACGACAGCAGGCAGAGAGGGGCAGGAGAAGUAGCAGAAUCAGGGAAAGGCGUAUUGGUGCCAGUAAAUAAGGUGGACUUGGAAUCUCUCAGGGGAAACUACAUGUAGUAAUUGAAUUAAAAUGGCUAGAACCAGAGGAUGGGGUUGUGCGUCCCCGGGAGUUCAGAGGGUGCCGGCGCUUCAACUGAUGGUGUGGACCCAUGAGACAGAGGCUCCACCAGGUGGCCAUCAGGGACGUGAGAGGCCUCCAGCAGUAUGCCUGGAGAUACUUGUGUGUGGAUGAGGGACGCAGACUCAAGAACCACAAGUGUAGGCUGACCAAGGUAACAGGGACGUGAGGGGUCUCCAGCAGCAUGCCUGAAGAUACUUGUGUGUGGACGAGGGACACACACUCAAGAACCACAAGUCCCUGAACACCUUUCCCCCCAUGAACUGGCUGCUGUUUACUGGGACACCCUUGCAGAACAGCCUGGCGGAGCUCUGGGCCCUUCUGAACUUCCUAAUGCUGGAUAAUUUUGAGUCCUUGUCCAAUGUGAGUGAGAUGCAGGAGGGAAGUGAGGAGAGGACUCUGAGGCAGGAAUGGGAGGGCCAGGCCAUCUCCACUCUAAUGAAGAUAAGAGAGAGGGAAUGUGGGUGUGUUUGGGAGUGUUUUGGUGGCUUUGGGUAGGUUUGGGUGUGUUUGGGGAGUUUUUUAUGAUUAUUUAAAGAGGUUUUUUUGGGCUGGAGAGGAGUUUUUUGGGCUGGAGAGAAGGUUUUUUGGGCUGGAGGGAAUUUUUUUGGGUCUGGAGAGGAGCUUUUUGGGCUGGAGAGAAAUGUUUUGGGCUGGAGAGAAGGUUAUGUUUUGGGCUGGAGAGAAGGUUUUGUGGGCUGGAGGGAAGUUUUUGGGCUGGAGGGAAGUUUUUUGGGCUGGAGGGAAGUUUUUGGGCUGGAGAGGAGUUUUUUGGGCUGGAGAGGAUCGUUUCAGGUCAGGUGGUUAAACACUACCGUCUAUCUAGUGGCUAUUGUAGGCUGUAUCUCUCUCUCUCUCUCUCUCUCUCUCUCUCUCUCUCUCUCUCUCUCUCUCUCUCUCUCUCUCUCUCUCUCUCUCUCUCUCUCUC